rnacentral:rRNA from 1 species
AGUGGAAGCGUCUGGAAAGGCGCGCGAUACAGGGUGACAGCCCCGUACACAAAAAUGCACAUGCUGUGAGCUCGAUGAGUAGGGCGGGACACGUGGUAUCCUGUCUGAAUAUGGGGGGACCAUCCUCCAAGGCUAAAUACUCCUGACUGACCGAUAGUGAACCAGUACCGUGAGGGAAAGGCGAAAAGAACCCCGGCGAGGGGAGUGAAAAAGAACCUGAAACCGUGUACGUACAAGCAGUGGGAGCACGCUUAGGCGUGUGACUGCGUACCUUUUGUAUAAUGGGUCAGCGACUUAUAUUCUGUAGCAAGGUUAACCGAAUAGGGGAGCCGAAGGGAAACCGAGUCUUAACUGGGCGUUAAGUUGCAGGGUAUAGACCCGAAACCCGGUGAUCUAGCCAUGGGCAGGUUGAAGGUUGGGUAACACUAACUGGAGGACCGAACCGACUAAUGUUGAAAAAUUAGCGGAUGACUUGUGGCUGGGGGUGAAAGGCCAAUCAAACCGGGAGAUAGCUGGUUCUCCCCGAAAGCUAUUUAGGUAGCGCCUCGUGAAUUCAUCUCCGGGGGUAGAGCACUGUUUCGGCAAGGGGGUCAUCCCGACUUACCAACCCGAUGCAAACUGCGAAUACCGGAGAAUGUUAUCACGGGAGACACACGGCGGGUGCUAACGUCCGUCGUGAAGAGGGAAACAACCCAGACCGCCAGCUAAGGUCCCAAAGUCAUGGUUAAGUGGGAAACGAUGUGGGAAGGCCCAGACAGCCAGGAUGUUGGCUUAGAAGCAGCCAUCAUUUAAAGAAAGCGUAAUAGCUCACUGGUCGAGUCGGCCUGCGCGGAAGAUGUAACGGGGCUAAACCAUGCACCGAAGCUGCGGCAGCGACGCUGAUGCGUUGUUGGGUAGGGGAGCGUUCUGUAAGCCUGCGAAGGUGUGCUGUGAGG